rnacentral:lncRNA from 1 species
GGCAGAAUUCACACUGAAGCUGUCGUCCUGCGUACAUACCAUCGUCCGUUAAACAGAGAAAGAGCUGCUUGGCAUUCUUCUUCCGACUGGUACUGAACAUAUAUACUUGCCCCUCAGAGACGGGGUUUCAACAUGUUGACCAGGAUGGUCUCGAUCUCUUGACCUCGUGAUUCGCCCGCCGCGUCCUCCCAAAGUGCUGGGAUUACAGGCCUGAGCCACCGCGCCCAGUCUCUCCCCACGUUCUUGAACUCGGGCAGCACAUCCUCACAGAAAUCUAGGAACUGUUGUUGUCGUGGACCCCCAGGUUGCAAGUUACAUACCCUGGGCAUGUCCAGAUGAACGAAGCGUGCAAAUCCACGUGGAACCUAAGUGCUCAGACCGAGGAACAGGGACUGAGUUAAGAAGUGGACACCACGUGGCAUGAUCCUUGAUCCAAUCAGAUUGAGCCCUGGCGUGAUCCAGUCAGAUCAAGCCUCCUGAAUCCCCUCAUUACAAGAUCCAAUCAUAUCAUGCCUCACUACCCUCUGUAUAUAAAAUCUGCCCCAGCCUCCAACUUGGAGAGACAGAUUUGGGCCAGACUCCUGUGUCCUUGCUUGGCUGCCUUGCAAUAAAUUUUUCUCUCUAC